rnacentral:rRNA from 1 species
AAAGGGCACUCUAAUGAGACUGCCGGUGACAAACCGGANGAAGGUGGGGAUGACGUCAAGUCCUCAUGGCCCUUAUGGGUAGGGCUUCACACGUCAUACAAUGGUCGGGACAGAGGGUCGNCAACCCGCGAGGGGGAGCCAAUCCCAGAAANCCGAUCGUAGUCCGGAUNGCAGUCUGCAACUCGAUCUGCGUGAAGUCGGAAUCGCUAGUAAUCGCGGAUCAGCAUGUCGCGGUGAAUACGUUCCCGGGUCUUGUACACNCCGCCCAGUCACACCAUGGGAGUGGGUUUUACCAGAAGUAGUUAGCCUAACACGCAAGGGGGGCCGAUU